UGGGGAAUAUUGCACAAUGGGCGCAAGCCUGAUGCAGCCAUGCCGCGUGUAUGAAGAAGGCCUUUGGGUUGUAAAGUACUUUCAGCGGGGAGGAAGGGAGUAAAGUUAAUACUUUUGCUCAUUGACGUUACCCGCAGAAGAAGCACCGGCUAACUCCGUGCCAGCAGCCGCGGUAAUACGGAGGGUGCAAGCGUUAAUCGGAAUUACUGGGCGUAAAGCGUACGCAGGCGGUUUGUUAAGUCAGAUGUGAAAUCCCCGGGCUCAACCUGGGAACUGCAUCGGAUACUGGCAAGCUUGAGUCUCGUAGAGGGGGGUAGAAUUCCAGGUGUAGCGGUGAAAUGCGUAGAGAUCUGGAGGAAUACCGGUGGCGAAGGCGGCCCCCUGGACGAAGACUGACUCUCAGGUGCGAAAGCGUGGGGAGCAAACAGG
rnacentral:rRNA from 1 species